rnacentral:siRNA from 1 species
CGGCCGGGGGACGGACUG